UGGGGAAUAUUGCACAAUGGGCGCAAGCCUGAUGCAGCAACGCCGCGUGAACGAUGAAGGUCUUCGGAUCGUAAAGUUCUGUUGCAGGGGAAGAUAAUGACGGUAACCGGAGAAGAAGCCCCGGCCAACUUCGUGCCAGCAGCCGCGGUAAUACGAAGGGGGCUAGCGUUGUUCGGAUUUACUGGGCGUAAAGCGCACGUAGGCGGACUAUUAAGUCAGGGGUGAAAUCCCGGGGCUCAACCCCGGAACUGCCUUUGAUACUGGUAGUCUUGAGUUCGAGAGAGGUGAGUGGAAUUCCGAGUGUAGAGGUGAAAUUCGUAGAUAUUCGGAGGAACACCAGUGGCGAAGGCGGCUCACUGGCUCGAUACUGACGCUGAGGUGCGAAAGCGUGGGGAGCAAACAGG
rnacentral:rRNA from 1 species